rnacentral:rRNA from 1 species
UACGUAGGGGGCUAGCGUUGUCCGGAUUUAUUGGGCGUAAAGAGCGUGUAGGCGGCCUGGUAGGUCUGCUGUGAAAACUCGAGGCUCGACCUCGAGAUGUCGGCGGAAACCAUCUGGCUAGAGUCCGGAAGAGGAGAGUGGAAUUCCUGGUGUAGCGGUGAAAUGCGCAGAUAUCAGGAGGAACACCAAUAGCGAAGGCAGCUCGCUGGGACGUUACUGACACUGAGGCGCGAAAGCGUGGGGAGCAAACAGG